CACAAUGGCGUAGCAGUCUUGGCAGUGUCUCUUCUGAUAACGGUGUGGUUCUUCUGAUAAUGCUGCUGGACGAGUAUGCAGGGCCGCAUUGUCUUCUCCAGCUCCGCAUCGGCGUCGUGGGCUGGAGGACGUUACUUCUGUGUUGGCUAUUUCCUCCGGCGAGGUUAGUUUUUCUGUGGUUGCGCGUGAGCGUGACCACCAGACUGCUUCUUUGCCUGUUGCCCGUGGCCGUGGCUUCUUUGCCUAUUGCUCAUCCAGUGUCUCCACCUAUUGCACGGUCUGUGCUUCGCUUUUCCUUGGAUGGGUUUGUACCCGUUUCAUCGCCUCUUGAAGCUGAUGCGUGGAGGAGACCGGAGAUUUGGUUGGGCAAGCGGCCUGUCCAUCCUAUACCUAUAACAAUAUCAUUGACAGUACUAGAGGUGGCAGUAUUUCGGUUCCCCUUGCUCCUGCUGGUUCAUCAUUGCCACAAUUGUUUGGACCUGGUUCUUCAGAUUUUGGUGCCUUUCAUAUCCUGGUUUCUUUGUUGUGUACUUCUUUUUGGGGGCUGUCCUGUGAUGUGAAGAAGUGUCAUUUAGUAUGUAUAUUAAGGUUUAGAAAAUGAAUGGGUUUUGCGUUUCUUUUUAGAGACUGCCCUGUGACACAAAGAAUAGGCAUCGAGUAUCUAUCUUAAUGUUUAAAGCAUGCCGCUUAUUUG